rnacentral:tRNA from 1 species
GGCCGGAAUAGCUCAGUUGGUAGAGCAGAGGACUGAAAAUCCU